AGAGUUUGAUCAUGGCUCAGGAUGAACGCUGGCGCGUGCCUAACACAUGCAAGUCGAGCGAUUCUCUUCGGAGAAGAGCGGCGACGGGUGAGUAACGCGUGGGUAACCUGCCCUGUACACACGGAUAACAUACCGAAAGGUAUGCUAAUACGAGAUAAUAUACUUUUAUCGCAUGGUAGAAGUAUCAAAGCUCCGGCGGUACAGGAUGGACCCGCGUCUGAUUAGCUAGUUGGUAAGGUAACGGCUUACCAAGGCGACGAUCAGUAGCCGACCUGAGAGGGUGAUCGGCCACAUUGGAACUGAGACACGGUCCAAACUCCUACGGGAGGCAGCAGUGGGGAAUAUUGCACAAUGGGCGAAAGCCUGAUGCAGCAACGCCGCGUGAGCGAUGAAGGCCUUCGGGUCGUAAAGCUCUGUCCUCAAGGAAGAUAAUGACGGUACUUGAGGAGGAAGCCCCGGCUAACUACGUG
rnacentral:rRNA from 1 species